AUAUCAAUAAGCGGAGGAAAAGAAACCAACAGGGAUUGCCCUAGUAACGGCGAGUGAAGCGGCAACAGCUCAAAUUUGAAAUCUGGCUCCUUUGGGGGUCCGAGUUGUAAUUUGCAGAGGGUGCUUUGGCAUAGGCGGCGGUCUAAGUUCCUUGGAACAGGACAUCGCAGAGGGUGAGAAUCCCGUACGUGGGCGCCUGCCUUUGCCGUGUAAAGCCCCUUCGACGAGUCGAGUUGUUUGGGAAUGCAGCUCUAAAUGGGAGGUAAAUUUCUUCUAAAGCUAAAUACCGGCCAGAGACCGAUAGCGCACAAGUAGAGUGAUCGAAAGAUGAAAAGUACUUUGGAAAGAGAGUCAAAAAGCACGUGAAAUUGUUGAAAGGGAAGCGCUUGCAGCCAGACUUGCCCGCAGUUGCUCACCUAGGCUUCGGCCUGGGGCACUCUUCUGCGGGCAGGCCAGCAUCAGUUUGGGCGGUUGGAUAAAGGCCUCUGUCACGUAUCUCUCUUCGGGGAGACCUUAUAGGGGAGGCGUAAUGCAACCAGCCCGGACUGAGGUCCGCGCAUCUGCUAGGAUGCUGGCGUAAUGGCUGUAAGCGG
rnacentral:rRNA from 1 species